rnacentral:other from 1 species
GGUAUCCUGGGGUGUGCGUUAGUUUGUGCUUUUACCCACAGAUUCAAAAAAGGAUUCCGGGUCGGUAUGCAGAUGUCAGGCCCCCGAUUUCGCCAGGGGAAGGCAGUAAGCAGUCGCAGGUCUCCGCCCUGCCUGAGAGGCGGGUGAAAAAGCAUAGGCAGACGGCACUUACGGGAUAUUU